rnacentral:rRNA from 1 species
CUUAUCGUCACCUCCAGCAAUCAGCAGCCACCCGAAGCCUUCUUUCCCCCAAAUCUUCGGCAAGAGCUAGUGCCUUCCGGCAAGCAAUUGCCUCCAUCGUUAUCGGUGAAGCCAGCGUCGAUUACGCGGGACGCUCCCAAGAAGCUGACGUCCGCCGCUACCGCCCCUCGAGCCUGCUUCUUCGCAGGAGCAGCAUCGGCAUUGACCUUCACACAGCCAUAGGGGGCGGGAUCCACUUCGUCCGACUCGCACGAGCAGCAGAUCGGCAUCAGCUGCAGAGGUGUGCUCGUCUUAUACAUGACAGCAUCUCGUUGACGCCAGGAAGCCACACUCCGGCAGCUGCAGCGAAUUUACACUGCAGGUCGAGGCUAGCUGAGAUCCAUGGCGUCGAGCAGGGCGAUCUUGGCCAUGGGCCUCCUUGCCGCCGUGCUGUCCCCCGCCUUGUCAACGCGGUCGUUUAUCUCCAUGCCAGCCGACGUGAGUAGUCCUGUGACCCUGGCCAACGGCCUCUCCUACGGCUACCACGCCAACUCCUGCCCACAGCUGCAAGACAUCGUGUGGCCGAUCGUGGAGAGCGCGGUCCUGGGUGAGGUGGCCAUCGCCGCCGGCCUCCUCCGUAUCUUCUUCCACGAUUGCUUUCCUCAGGGCUGCGACGCGUCCGUCCUUCUGACGGGACCCAACAGCGAGCGGGACCUGCCGCCGAACCAGACGCUGCAGCCGCGUGCGAUGCAGCUCAUCGAGGACGUCCGCGUCAAGGUACACGCCGCCUGCGGCGCCACCGUCUCCUGCGCCGACAUCAUCGCCCUCGCCACCCGCGACGCCGUCUUCGUGGCCGGGGAAAGCGAAAUGUUCUACUUCUACGACCUGCCGCUCGGCCGGUUUGACAGCCUCGAGCCGGCUAAUAGCAGCGCCGUCUUCGACCUCCCGCAGUCCACCGCCGACGCCAACACGCUCAUCAACGCCUUCAAGAGCCGCAACCUCGAGCCGAUCGACCUCGUCGCGCUCUCUGGCGCGCACACCGUCGGGAAGGCGCAGUGCAGCUCCUUCAACAACCGCUUCUCCGAGGACGCCGACUUCGCCCGGAGGCUCGCCGCCAACUGCUCCAGCGACCCGAACCGGCUGCAGGACCUCGACGUGGAAACCCCCAUCGUGUUGGACAACCAGUACUUCAAAAACCUGAUGGAGGGAAAGGGGGUGUUCACCUCCGACCAAGUGCUCAUCAGCGACGGGCGCACCGACUGGGCGGUCAAAGGCCUCGCCGAGAACAAAUAUUGGUUCUACAGCCAGUUCCGUGACUCCUUGGUGAAGCUGAGUCAGUACCAACCCGGAGGAAACGUGGGCGAGAUCCGCCGCAACAGCUGCUUCGCGCCCAACGGACGGAGCAUUCCCGCCACCGCCGGUGACGAGGGGUUCGCAGCCUCUGCUUGAGUUCACCGCUCACUACGGGAUCCUCGUUUAGUUUGCUUGUAGUAAGAGUAUAAGCUAGUGUGUACUCUGCUUCGUUCAAUCCUCUUUCAUGAUGGCUCAGAACACGUUUGAAACAGUUGCACGGGGUUUGUUCACUCGGGUUUUGUUUUUGGCUGGCGGGCCAUCGAGAGAUUACGUGGAUGAGCCAAGUUUCUCCGUUGGUGCUAACCAAGCUGAGUGCGUCUCAAGACUGGGCCGGUAUACACAGCUAGGCAUCGAAGCUUGUUUCUUUUUUU